UCCUGAGACCCCGCUAUGGGGAUUUGUCCAAUAUAUUGGACAUUUAGAAAUGAGACAGUACUCCUGUGACAAGGCUAUCAUCCUCGUAAAACCGCGCUGUCCAACUUACUGGACACCUGCUUGCGCCAUCUAUGCAGCAUUGAUGAAAAUACAUCGUUCAAAUUCCCGCCGAAACAGUUCCACAAUGGCGGCAUUCAGCGGCGCAGCGUUUUACGGCAGCUGCCGGAGAAAUUUGAGACCUAGGCCUCUCUACCUAUUGACAGCCUUGACCCUUGGGCCUCGGCGACAUCUUCGGCCUAAUGGAUUGUCUUGAGUUGGUCUUUCGGUGCACAGGACAACCGGCUUUAUAGUGGCACCGCGCGGACCGGAAGUGGUGUCGCGAAGCCUUCACAAGCCGGCCCAAUUUCUGGACGCAGAGCGGCAGCAGCCAUCAUUUACGUGCCCGACCACCGGUGGAAUGGCGCCGCAACUUCCACUCCUAAAACUUGAGCGUGGAGCUGCGCGAAAGGACGAAGCGACAAGAGCGGCAAAUGGCCGACCUGGAAGAAUUAAGCGAUUCACGACGCAACCGCGACCGCUGCGGGCGGAAGUAGGGCCGGCACACGAUGGAAGCGAGUCGCCGUGCGGUAUUUUGUAGGCACGCUUCGGAGAUUUAUCGCUAAACACACAGUGUAGGAGCACACACAGAGAGUUUUCACAUUCUGCCACCGUCCUAAGUGUCUUGUGCGUGCCACUUCGCCUUCGAAGGCACGGUGUUGUGUAAACAGAAAGGCGGCCGGUUUCCAAACAGCUUGCUUCACUAUCGCCUGAAGUUUCGUGCGUGGCGUCGCUUGAGGCAAGAUAUUUAAAUUCAUUUGCUCUAACGCGAUUGAAUAAAGUCAUGGAUAGGC